CCUACGGGUGGCAGCAGUGAGGAAUAUUGGUCAAUGGACGAGAAUCUGAACCAGCCAAGUAGCGUGAAGGAUGACUGCCCUAUGGGUUGUAAACUUCUUUUAUAUGGGAAUAAAAUGUUCCACGUGUGGGAUUUUGUAUGUACCAUAUGAAUAAGGAUCGGCUAACUCCGUGCCAGCAGCCGCGGUAAUACGGAGGAUCCGAGCGUUAUCCGGAUUUAUUGGGUUUAAAGGGAGCGUAGGUGGAUUGUUAAGUCAGUUGUGAAAGUUUGCGGCUCAACCGUAAAAUUGCAGUUGAAACUGGCAGUCUUGAGUACAGUAGAGGUGGGCGGAAUUCGUGGUGUAGCGGUGAAAUGCUUAGAUAUCACGAAGAACACCGAUGGCGAAGGCAGCUUACUGGACUGCAACUGACACUGAGGCUCGAAAGUGUGGGUAUCAAACAGGAUUAGAUACCCCAGUAGUC
rnacentral:rRNA from 1 species